AAGGCGGCCUGCUGGGCUUUAACUGACGCUGAGGCCACGAAAGCAUGGGUAGCAAACAGGAUUAGAUACCCUGGUAGUCCAUGCUGUAAACGAUGAUUACUAGGUGUGGGUGGUCUGACCCCAUCCGUGCCGGAGUUAACACAAUAAGUAAUCCACCUGGGGAGUACGACCGCAAGGUUGAAACUCAAAGGAAUUGACGGGGGCCCGCACAAGCAGUGGAGUAUGUGGUUUAAUUCGAAGCAACGCGAAGAACCUUACCAGGUCUUGACAUCCAACUAACGAAGCAGAGAUGCAUUAGGUGCCCUUCGGGGAAAGUUGAGACAGGUGGUGCAUGGUUGUCGUCAGCUCGUGUCGUGAGAUGUUGGGUUAAGUCCCGCAACGAGCGCAACCCUUGUGAUUAGUUGCUACGCAAGAGCACUCUAAUCAGACUGCCGUUGACAAAACGGAGGAAGGUGGGGACGACGUCAAAUCAUCAUGCCCCUUAUGACCUGGGCUACACACGUACUUUAAUGGCCGCCCACAGAGGGAAGCAAGACCGCGAGGUGGAGCAAACCCCUAAAAACGGUCUCAGUUCGGAUCGCAGGCUGCAACCCGCCUGCGUGAAGCUGGAAUUGCUAGUAAUCGCGGAUCAUCAUGCCGCGGUGAAUACGUUCCCGGGCCUUGUACACAUCUCGCCCGUCACACCAUGGGAGCCGGUAAUACCCGAAGUCGGUAGUCUAACCGCAAGGAGGACGCCGCCGAAGGUAGGAUUGGCGACUGGGGUGAAGUCGUAACAAGGUAACC
rnacentral:rRNA from 1 species